GUGUCAGCCGCCGCGGUAAAACGUAGGACGCAAGCGUUAUCCGGAGUUACUGGGCGUAAAGGGCAGGUAGGCGGGCGGUUAAGUGGGGUGUGAAAUCUCCCGGCUCAACCGGGAGGGUGCAUUCGAGACUGGCCGUCUGGAGGGCAGCAGAGGAGCGUGGAAUUCCGGGUGGAGUGGUGAAAUGCGUAGAGAUCCGGAGGAACACCAGAGGCGAAAGCGGGGCUCUGGGCUGCACCUGACGCUGAACUGCGAAAGCCAGGGGAGCGAACGGGAUUAGAAACCCUCGUAGUCC
rnacentral:rRNA from 1 species